rnacentral:rRNA from 1 species
GAUCCUGGCUCAGAAUCAACGCUGGCGGCGUGCCUAACACAUGCAAGUCGCACGAGAAAGCGGGCUUCGGCCUGCAAGUACAGUGGCGCACGGGUGAGUAACGCGUGAAUCAUCUACCUCCGAGUGGGGAAUAACCUAGGGAAACCUGGGCUAAUACCGCAUAACACUUACGAGUCAAAGCAGCAAUGCGCUUGGAGAGGAGUUCGCGGCAGAUUAGCUAGUUGGUGGGGUAAUGGCCCACCAAGGCGAUGAUCUGUAUCCGGCCUGAGAGGGCGCACGGACACACUGGAACUGAAACACGGUCCAGACUCCUACGGGAGGCAGCAGUGGGGAAUUUUGCGCAAUGGGGGAAACCCUGACGCAGCAACGCCGCGUGGAGGAUGAAAUCCCUUGGGAUGUAAACUCCUUUCGAUCGGGACGAUUAUGACGGUACCGGAAGAAGAAGCCCCGGCUAACUUCGUGCCAGCAGCCGCGGUAAUACGAGGGGGGCAAGCGUUGUUCGGAAUUAUUGGGCGUAAAGGGCGCGUAGGCGGUUUGACAAGUCUGAUGUGAAAUCUCUGGGCUCAACCCAGAGUCUGCAUUAGAAACUGUCGGGCUUGAGUAUGGGAGAGGUGAGUGGAAUUUCCGGUGUAGCGGUGAAAUGCGUAGAUAUCGGAAGGAACACCUGUGGCGAAAGCGGCUCACUGGACC